UCUUUGACAACUUCUUAACUAAGAUAUCAAGCAAGUUCAUCAUGGUUAUUGAUCUCCAACUCAACACACUUAGGGAUAAUGCCUCUAAAUUAUUUCAAUCUUCAUAGUCAUUAAAAACAACUUAUCUUAUAUUCCCUUGUUACAGUUGAGCUCAACUUUCAUGUAAAGAAAUAGUGAUUUUUUUCUUAACACUUUUGUGUUCAUUAAAUCGGA
rnacentral:lncRNA from 1 species